rnacentral:snoRNA from 1 species
AUCCCAUGAUGAGGAUAGGCGGCCACGUACUCCUGUAGCAUUUCCCAUGCUUCAGGAAUCGACUCGUCCCUUCUUUGCUAGAAGCUUAAGAUUCUUAUGUGAAGGGC